rnacentral:rRNA from 1 species
GUCCCAUCUCGAACCCGGAAGUGAAAGGUCUUAGUGCCGAUGGUACUUCGUCUUAAGGCGCGGAAGAGUAGGUCGUCGCCAGAU